CCUUCCAACCGAGGCUGAGGUAUAGAGCACAACAGAUGCCUCCUACUCUCGAGGCUGAACUUAAAUAACAUUGAUCGAAGAGAGUAUUAGUUUGAGGUUGAGGCUAACUUUAUCAAACUAUUUUCUGUUGACACGUAUCAAGAAUCGGCUUUCUAAGGUGAACCAUCUUCAAAUCUAGACCAUUGAAUCAUCGGAUCUGCAGCAGCCAUGUUCUGACCAAUCACGAGUAGCCACUUGGCACACAUCAGUAGAGAGAGAUAAUUCGCCAG
rnacentral:lncRNA from 1 species